rnacentral:rRNA from 1 species
UACAGAGGGGGCAAGCGUUGUUCGGAAUUACUGGGCGUAAAGGGCGCGUAGGCGGCCUGCUAAGUCGAACGUGAAAUCCCUGGGCUCAACCCAGGAACUGCGUCCGAUACUGGUUGGCUUGAAUCCGGGAGAGGGACGUGGAAUUCCAGGUGUAGCGGUGAAAUGCGUAGAUAUCUGGAGGAACACCGGUGGCGAAGGCGCACUCUCGAGACCGGCAUUGACGCUGAGGCGCGAAAGCCAGGGGAGCAAACGGG